GCUGUUUUUUUCGACGUUGCCGUCCCUGCGUAUGAGGAGAAUGGCGAAUUCUGCGGUCGGCGUGAUCGUGGGCUGCAUUACGAGUCUAGUGCAGAUUCACUGUCAUAUAUAUAUAUAUUGCCAUGGCGUGGAAGUUAAUUUGAUUUUAUUAGAAUUGAUGUGUGUCAUCUUUGUGUGAAGGACGUAAAGUGAGAAAUAUUUUGGUUGCAUGGAAGGUAGGCGUGCCUGCAAGCAUAUGGGAUACUAUAGACGUUACGCAUUUACGAGUCCAUCAUUACUACAGAGGUAGCAAGACUUUGCACCGGGAGCUGACAUGAUCAUUGUGCAUGAUGGACACAAUUCAUCAGGCGAUGCGGUUGGGAUGAUCCACAGACACGUGUUGGCAGCCUCAGUUUUAGUGACUUGCUUGUGGAAAUUCAGUAGCUGUUUAUUUAAGUUUGUGUAAGAGCCUAUCGCAGUGGACAAGGUAGAAGUAAUCAGCUAGGGUUACAGGUUGUAAUGUUGGUUAUGUGGCCACCACACCACGGUCGCACACUUUAGAUUCCUAGUGACCAAGUAUCACGAGUUAGUAGCAUGCCUCACAAUGCCACAAGGAAGACCUCAGGCCCUCGUGUGAUCUCCUUGCUUUCGGAGGAGGUGUACGGUUAUAGAUUCAGUGUGAGUGCCUUGUCUGUCUGAAAGAGGAGUUUGAGAUCAGGGGAUGUGCUUAGUGGCAACUUUCUCGUGAACUGUAUCUGUAGUGUGUGGAGUAAUAUUACCAAGAGAUGGCAGACAAAGUUAUCUGAAUGUCAGUGUUUCAGAAGAUCAGUUGUGUGCGUGAUGGGGAAGCAGCUUAUUUGGAGUUGGAGAUGUGAAGAACCAGACAGAAUGAGGCACCUGGAGUGUUUGUGACUUGGAUAGGAAAGUGCAGUAUUCAGCCGAGUGCCAAAUCUGGCGAACGAUCUGUGAUUAUCAGCUUAGAGGAUGGAUCAGCGAAAUAUUUAUCUGGAUAUAUCAUUAAUGGAAUAAAUCUCUUUCCUGCCACUGGCUACCUUGUGAGUUGUAAUGUAAUUAAU